AACGCACGAGACCUGCGGACCUGCGGAGGGAUCAUUAUCGAGUGUAACCUACCCUGUAAAAAGGGUGAUACCUCCCGUCCUUUGCAGGCCCUCUUUUUAUGGGGGCUUUUUAAGACCUUCUGCUUCGGCGGGGUUACUCCAGCCGGAACACCCUCAAAAACUCUUGAUCAAAAACAGUUCAGUCCGAGAAUUUUUGAAAAAUAAAAAAAACUUUCAACAAUGGAUCUCUAGAUCGGAAGA
rnacentral:misc_RNA from 1 species